UGCGCCUCACCGAUGGCACCCGCGUUGACUGC
rnacentral:scRNA from 1 species